rnacentral:lncRNA from 1 species
GGUCUGGGCUGAGAGAGGAGCUGCCAUCAGUCACCGAGGAAAAAUCUUGGAAUUGAAUUUAAAAGACAACUGGGAAGGCAUAAAUAAUAUAGUUGUCUUGUACAUUUGAGCCUUAGCCCCACGGGAAACUGAAAAAAAAAAUCGGACGGCUCAGUAAAACCUCUUCCUUCCGUUGUAAAUGUUACUCACAGCAUCUUUUCCCAUGUUUGUUGGUGAUAAAUUCACUGUCAUCUCAGUAAGAGUAUAACAUCAUGCUGAAGAUAUUUCUGUGAAGAGUUUUGUACUGAGAACAUCAUACCAGGACAACUCCUUGAAGGGCAUUAAUUGCAGCUUUGGGAUUU